rnacentral:rRNA from 1 species
ACAUUCUGUGAAAGCAGAACUUCCGCCAAGGACACGAAACUAGGUGCUGCAUGGCUGUCGUCAGCUCGUGCCGUGAGGUGUUGGGUUAAGUCCCGUAACGAGCGCAACCCCUAUCAUUAGUUGCCAUCAGGUCAUGCUGGGGACUCUAAUGAGACUGCCCGCGCAAGCGGUGAGGAAGGUGGGGACGACGUCAAGUCAUCACGGCCCUUACGUCCAGGGCUACACACGUGCUACAAUGGUAGAUACAGCAGGUUGCCACAUGGUAACAUGGAGCUAAUCCCAAAAGUCUAUCUCAGUUCGGAUUGAGGUCUGCAACUCGACCUCAUGAAGCUGGAUUCGCUAGUAAUCGAAAAUCAGCAAUGUUUCGGUGAAUACGUUCCCGGGCCUU